UUUUCUCCAUCACCUAUUCAUGGCGGCUAAGUGAGGGGCGCCGUGGGAGGGACGUGGGGGAGGGACCCCCGCCGGGGACCUGUUUGGGAAGUGCUGCUGGAACCAAUCAGCUCCCCGACACUCCGCAUGCUGACAGGAUGUGAAACCGUUGGCGUGUGAGUUGCCUGCCGAGGGACGGGUGCCACAGCGUGCUGCCAAACGCUGUAAAUGCACAACUCUUGUAGCGGCAUUAAACAUGCAGCGACGCGGCGCGUGACAGCGAGGCGCCGGACUCCGCCGACCUCUGACCUGCUGCUGAGAGAAACCGCUCCGGAGUUCAACCGCGGCUGCCACUUUCAAUCCUCCCCGGUCCUCCCAGAAUGCCGUUCUGCACGUUGAUGCAGCUGCCGGAGCACCGGCGGCUGAUGAGCGGUGACGGGACGCGUGGCCAA
ensembl:lncRNA